rfam:Gossypium arboreum cultivar AKA8401 contig_17854_3, whole genome shotgun sequence.
AAGCCAUGGUGUGGUCACCUUCUUAAUAGAUCUUUGUAUCUCUCCCAUGCAUCGUAAAGUGUCUCUAAGUCCAUCUGCACAAAAGAAGAAAUAUCAUUACGCAACUU